UUUGGUGGCGAUAGCGAAGAGGUCACACCCGUUCCCAUACCGAACACGGAAGUUAAGCUCUUCAGCGCCGAUGGUAGUCGGGGCUUUCCCCCUGUGAGAGUAGGACGUCGCCAAGC
rnacentral:rRNA from 2 species